rnacentral:lncRNA from 1 species
AAUUAGCUAAGGUCCCAAAAUCGGGAUGGCCUCCUAAUUUUACUUUGGCUUGCUUUGCAGGUUUCAAAAUCACCGAUAAGGGCUGUUGUGACGUUCCUACUGGAAAAGUACCAUAUGCACCUCUUUCAAAAUCAUCGAUUGCUGCUUUUGGAUCCUUGCGAAAAAGGGCAUAUAAACGUGAAUUUCCUGUUGAUGCAUGUCCAUAUGAUAUCAGUGAAUUAGCUAAGGUCUCAAAUGAUGAAGCCGAUGGUUGCAGUACGUACGUAUGGCAGUAAAAUAUUAUGAUUAAGACUGGUGGUUGGCUUAGGGUAGGACUACCAGGGCCUUCGUAUUUUUAUUUAAAAGAUAUCUACCAUUCAAGUUUCUUCUUCUUUUUUUUUUUUUUUUUUUGUAUGCUUUUCGGAGAAGAGUGGUUGGCAAUAUUGUUAACUAUCGUUGACAUUGUUUCUAUCAUCUAUGAUAUCAACACUGUGUUCAAAUGCUGCAAUAAGCUUUAUCUAUUGAAUAAAACAUCAAAUUCAU